UUAACUAUCUUCCUGCUACCAUAAGCUAAUUUGAUUUCCCAGGACUCAUUUCCUCAGCUAAUUGGAACUUCAGUUGCCACAUGUGUAAAUUUUGCCUUGCAGCUGUAUUGUUUUAGGCCAGUUGAACAAAUUGUUCAGGAUGGGUUGUGGAUGGGAGCAGCAUCUCUGGUCUUCUAGGCCAGCCUUUGGCUGGCUUGCUGCACCUUCAGGAGUGUCUGCUAUGUCUCCAUGGGUUUGAGUAUGGUGAUCUGAGGAAGGCUGCCCUGCUUUUCUCUUGUGCUACUUCCAGAUCUCCCCAGGCUGGUGGUUUGUUUUUUUUUUUUUUUUUGUGAGGAACAAGCAUGUGUUGCUGGGGGUGAGGUUGGUUGUUUGAGGCUGUGGUGCUGGGUGAACACGGGAAGAAGAGGGGUGUUCCCUUCAGAAACGAAGAGAGAAGACAGAAGGAUAAAUGGAGGCUUGUUUUUUCUGCGCCUCUGCACUCAAACAAAACCCACAAAAACCAGACGUACUGUGGUAGUAAGGCGGCCGGAAGGUGUUGUUGGCAACCCCCCAUCGUGGGGGGAAUAUGACAAAGUCAGCGAUUGCCACUCCAGGACGGGUCGACUUGGCUGUCAAGACAGUGAAGAUAGAUGGAUCCUGAAAAAAACAACAAAGGAAAAAGCAUCAAACAGAGCAUGACUCAGGUCACCCCAUCGAUAAAUCUGGAUAUGAGUAUGCAUAACAGACCUUGGCCUUUCCCUAAUUUCUUCAAUUUGAGGAUCUCAAAAUAAUUUGCUUUCCUUCCCUUUUCACCCUAAUGGGUCACAAUUCCUCUUUGUGUAGAGGAGAAAGCUGAGUGUGUGCAAGCAUGGUAUCCUUAGGAUUUGGGAUGCAGCACUGUGACUCCAGGAGCUCCUACCACCUCUUGGCAGUUUUUGAGCACAACAUCCUACCAGGGGUAUUCACCUCAUAGCACCAGUGGCUGACUAACAGGGAGAACAGAGUGCAGAUAAAUUGUCACUUGCUUCAAGGAUUUUUGAAGUUUCCACUCCAGUAGAGCGAUUUUCUGGGCUUUGAUCCCAAACCUAUCUUUCUCCUGGCAGGUUUUUCCAGAAAUUAAACAAUGCUUUCUGCUGGUUGUCUCACUAGCGGUGCUUCCGUCUCCUUGCACACCCACUUGCAGAAGCAGCCAGGAGAUGGUAUGGCUGUGGGCACCUCUCCCACUGGGCUGGUUUCCUUUUUUAGAAGAGCUGCUCACAUUGAUUUUGGCUUUAGUUAUUUUCCAUAAGAUCUAGAAAUUACUGCAGUGAGAGCUGCCAGCUCUUGGAAUGUGUUUCAGGGGCUCAGAUGAGCCAUGUACAAUUGCAAUAAAAUCAAAACAAGAAUUUUAA